AUUAGGUAGUUACGCAUUAUCU
ensembl:ncRNA